GUAAGGAAUAUUGGACAAUGCCCGCAAGGGUGAUCCAGCCAUGCCGCGUGCAGGAAGAAGGACCUAUGGUUUGUAAACUGCUUUUGAACAAGAGAAAACCCCUCUACGUGUAGAGGGCUGAUAGUAUUGUUAGAAUAAGCAUCGGCUAACUUCGUGCCAGCAGCCGCGGUAAGACGAAGGAUGCAAGCGUUAUCCGGAUUCAUUGGGUUUAAAGGGAGCGUAGGUGGCUUUGUAAGUCAGUGGUGAAAGCCGGUCGCUUAACGAUCGAACUGCCAUUGAUACUGCAGAGCUUGAGUACAGUUGCCGUUGGCGGAAUAUGACAUGUAGUGGUGAAAUACAUAGAGAUGUCAUAGAACACCGAUUGCGAAGGCAGCUAACGAAACUGUAACUGACACUGAGGCUCGAAAGUGCGGGGAUCAAACAGGAUUAGAAACCCCAGUAGUCC
rnacentral:rRNA from 1 species